rnacentral:rRNA from 1 species
GAACGCGAAGAACCUUACCAGGCCUUGACAUCCUAGGAACCCUGAUGAAAGUCGGGGGUGCCCGCAAGGGAACCUAGAGACAGGUGCUGCAUGGCUGUCGUCAGCUCGUGUCGUGAGAUGUUGGGUUAAGUCCCGCAACGAGCGCAACCCUUGUCCUUAGUUGCUAACGGGUAAGCCGAGCUCUCUAGGGAGACUGCCCGCGAAAGCGGGAGGAAGGCGGGGAUGACGUCUAGUCCGCAUGGCCCUUACGGCCUGGGCGACACACGUGCUACAAUGCCCGGCACAGGGCGCUGCCACAUCGCAAGAUGGAGCGAAUCGCCUAAAUCCGGGCUCAGUUCGGAUUGGGGUCUGCAACCCGACCCCAUGAAGCUGGAAUCGCUAGUAAUCGCGGAUCAGCCAUGCCGCGGUGAAUACGUUCCCGGGUCUUGUACACACC